rnacentral:rRNA from 1 species
CCUACGUGUGGCAGCAGUGGGGAAUAUUGCACAAUGGGGGAAACCCUGAUGCAGCAACGCCGCGUGAGUGAAGAAGUAUUUCGGUAUGUACAGCUCUAUCAGCAGGGAAGAAAAUGACGGUACCUGAGUACGACGCCCCGGCUAACUACGUGCCAGCAGCCGCGGUAAUACGUAGGGGGCAAUCGUUAUCCGGAUUUACUGGGUGGAAAGGGAGCGUAGACGGCGAUACAAGUCUGAAGUGAAAGCCCGGGGCUCAACCCCGGGACUGCUUUGGAAACUGUGUUGCUGGAGUGCUGGAGAGGCAAGCGGAAUGCCUAGUGUAGCGGUGAAAUGCGUAGAUAUUAGGAAGAACACCAGUGGCGAAGGCGGCUUGCUGGACAGUAACUGACGUUGAGGCUCGAAAGCGUGGGGAGCAAACAGGAUUAGAUACCCUAGUAGUC